rnacentral:rRNA from 1 species
GAAUCUUGGGCAAUGGACGACAGUCUGACCCAGCGACGCCGCGUGGAUGAGGAAGUCCUUCGGGACGUAAAAUCCACAAGUUGGGAACGAAUAAGUCCGACCUAAUACGUCGGCUGAUGACGGUACCCAAUGUAAGCCCCGGCUACCUCCGUUCCAGCCGCCGCGGUAAUACGUAGGGGGCGAGCGUUGUCCGGAAUUACUGGGCGUAAAGCGCGCGUAGGCGGCUUGAUAAGUCAGACGUGGAAGCCCCGGGCUCAACCUGGGAAUUGCGUCUGAAACUGUCAGGCUAGAGUACAGAAGGGGAUGUCGGAAUUCCUGGUGUAGCGGUGAAAUGCAUAGAUAUCAGGAAGAACACCGGUGGCGAAGGCGGACAUCUGGGCUGAUACUGACGCUGAGGCGCGAAAGCUAGGGGAGCAAACCGG